rnacentral:lncRNA from 1 species
UUAAGUAGAGGAGUCUCUGAAUUUCAACAUGUUUCUUUGUAUUUUUCUUUCUCUUUAUUCCAACUUUUUUUGCAGAAUUUCUAAGGAUCUUGGUUGCUGUCUUAAAUGACACAUUCAGUCUUUUCUCAGUUGUCGUCUCCUUAUAGAAACCAAUCUAAACAUUUCCAGCCUGAAUUUUCUGUGGCCACACAGCCCCCAAAUAUCUGCUAUAAGACACAAGAUCAAAACUGCCCAAAACUGAAAAAGGAGAGAGGGAGAUUAUUGAUGAAAAUAUGAAGUCUGCAGAAACUUGGCUGCCUGAGACUGGGGACAAGUGAAUGACCCAUAUUUUUAGAAGAAGUAAAUUUUCCAGCCUGAUGUUUUAGUAGUGGCAAAGCCACUCAGAAUACCCACUCAGGUAUACAAUCAUUUGUUCAAGAAUUUCAUCAAUGUUUGGAAAUAACAUCAAUUGUCAUACUAACUAGUUAUUGAUUUAUUUAGCAAAUUAUUUCUACUUUGAAUUCCUGAAAAGGUGGAGUAUAUAAGUCAUAAAAUAGGCUGUCCCACCCAUGACCCAAGCUGAGUAAGUGACUAAAUCACCAAUCAUGUGGUGGUCUUCACAUUUCCCAUAUAAAGAAAUUUGUGGAAAAGAGCUUGGGUUAGGGCAGGAUCUUGAUGCAAUUCAGUGGGACAGCUAGUGUUUGGUCAUGAGUCAAUCCUCAUCAACAGUCUGGUAAGACAGUCACUUAGAGCGACUUCAGAAACCGGGGGUUUAGGAGUCACAUGGGACAGGGUGGGUGGAUAUUUUACACAAUGCAAGGAGCCCCGCACUAGAUGUUGAGUGGUCUAGGUUCUAGUGCCCAACUAUUAAGAAUGCCAAUGGUGGAGUUCCCGUCGUGACGCAGUGGUUGGCGAAUCCGACCUAGGAACCAUGAGGUUGCAGGUUCAGUCCCUGCCCUUGCUCAGUGGGUUGAUGAUCUGGCAUUGCCAUGAGCUGUGGUGUAGGUUGCAGAUGCAGCUCGGAUCCCGCGUUGCUGUGGCUCUGGCGUAGGCCAGUGGCUACAGCUCCAAUUUGACCCCUAGCUUUGGAACCUCCAUAUGCCGCGUGAGCGGCCCAAAGAAAUAGCAAAAAGACAAAAAAAAAAAAAAAAAAAAAAAAAAAAAGAAUGCCAAUGGCAAAUAUUUGUUAAGUACUUGCCAUGACUCUAGUAAUGUUAAGCAAUUAUGUUCUCCUUUCCCUCUCCUGAUACAAAAUACGUAUAUAUAUAUAUAUAUGAUUAUGUCAAUCCUUUUUAUU